rnacentral:misc_RNA from 1 species
GAAAUGCGAUAAGUAAUGUGAAUUGCAGAAUUCAGUGAAUCAUCGAAUCUUUGAACGCACCUUGCGCUCCUUGGUAUUCCUUGGAGCAUGCCUGUUUGAGUAUCAUGAAAUCUUCAAAGUAAAUCUUUUGUUAACUCAAUUGGUUUCUACUUUGGUAUUGGAGGUCUUUCCAGCUUCACACCUGCUCCUCUUUGUUCAUUAGCUGGAUCUCAGUGUUAUGCUUGGUUCCACUCGGCGUGAUAAGUUAUCUAUCGCUGAGGACACUGUAAAAGGUGGCCAAGGUAAAUGCAGAUGAACCGCUUCUAAUAGUCCAUUGACUUGGACAAUACUUUUAUGAUCUGAUCUCAAAUCAGGUAGGACUACCCGCUGAACUUAAGC